UGAGUGCUGGGCCUCCACCAGGCACUCUGGAGGUGGCAGGGCCUUUGGGGAGGGCCUAAGAAGGGGGAAGAGAUGUCUGGGGGCCCUUGGUUUGGAGAUGUUGCUGUGGGCAGCAACAGCAGCCUCUAACUGGUCUACUAGGGCUUCGACCAUAGGCAACUCAGCAGUGACCAUCACAGACCUGGUGCCCUUUGCCAAGUUUCGGGAAUCCUGAAGUACUCGGAGUUCUGCGUGGAAGGAGAGUGAAGGGCCCUGAAAAGUGGCUGGGAUUGAAUUAUCUGAGGUCCUGCUCUGUGACCCUGAUGACUCAGCCUAUGUAAGCUUCAACGUCUUCGUCUGAAAAAUGGGAUGAUAGUAUUUACCUUGUUGGCUGUUGUGUGGAUUAAAUGAGGCCACGCCCAUGGAUGAACAAUGUUGGAUGCCCAAUAAUCAACCAAUAAUUGGAAGCUUUAUUCACAAUAACAAUGGUGGUAGCAACAAAAGCAGCCAAAGCACCUGGAUGAGCACAGAAGCAUCUGGAUGAUCACAAAAGCAAGGGUGUCCCUCGUUUUCAUCUUGCACAAGGCUUUGCAGUUUGUGCAGCUGCCUCUGCAGGGAGCGCUGGGGUCAGAAUCUUGCUCGGCACCGCAGCAACCUCGGGUAACUCUUUACCGGUUGGAGUCGCAGUUUCCCAUCUGGACAACGGGGGCAAUACUUCACAGUUGUUGAGGAUUAAGGCCCAUUCUGUCCAUGCCAUUUGAUUCCACAAGCUGGAAGAAUUGCUGCUCGCUCUAUUGUUUCCCUAGAUCCCUUUCACGGGACUACAUGGUCUGGGCCCUCUGCCACUGAUGUCUUCACUCCAAAGCAGCCUGACUCUUCAACUCAAGUGACCUUAUGUGGCCUAGCUCCUUUCUGCUGGUCCCAUUCUGAGCACCCACAUCUGCUCCAUCCCAGCUACCUAACAUGGGGGCUGAGAUGUGCUCCUGGGUUCAUCACCACGAAAAGCUUCACUCUCGGAUCCUAAGGAUGCAUUUAAAAGGGGCCUUCUCAGGAAGGACUUAAUGGUCAUAACGGUGACAAAUAAGGCACAGAGAGAGCCAAGGUGCAGUGGGCCUUCGGGUUUCUGUUCAGUCGCACCACAGAGGCAGCCAUCUGCUGGGUUAGGGCUGGUCCUGGUGUACAAAGGUUAAGAGCAUAAACUCGGGAUCCAGUCUGCUUAGAUUUUAAUCCCGGCUCUCUACUUCCCAGCUGGGUGACCCUGGCAAGAGAGGCUUCCUAGAAGAGGUGGAGGGAUUUCCAGGACUGGAACAAAGAGAGAGACCUUGACUCACAGGCAAGAAGACGGUGAGUUAUUGCAAGACUGGGGACGCAGGAGAAGACGUGGCCAUGGCAGGGUGGGCCAGGGGUGCCUAGAGGCACCCGAGUUUGGCACUUCUUUGAGAAUUGCACGUGUUUAGAGUCCUGCGCUUCACAGCAUCUGGUCAGUCUCUCCAGGCGUCUGUUCUUCCUUACACCCAGGAUAAAAUCCUGAGGUCCCUGUAAACUACAGGCCCAUUUUCCCAGAAAUUCAGACCCUGUUCUUGAAUCAGGUGUUCAUUGAUUGAAC